GGGCGUAAAGGGCGUGUAGGUGGUCUGUGAAGUCGGAAGUGAAAACCUGGGGCUCAACCCCGGGCCUGCUAUCGAAACCAGCAGACUUGAGGACAGGAGAGGGAAGCGGAAUUCCCAGUGUAGCGGUGAAAUGCGUAGAUAUUGGGAGGAACACCAGUGGCGAAAGCGGCUUCCUGGCCUGUAACUGACACUGAGGCGCGAAAGCGUGGGGAGCGAACAGGAUUAGAUACCCUGGUAGUCCACGCCGUAAACGAUGGGUGCUAAGUGUUGGGGGUAUCGACCCCCCCAGUGCUGUAGUUAACGCAAUAAGCACCCCGCCUGGGGAGUACGGUCGCAAGACUGAAACUCAAAGGAAUUGACGGGGGCCCGCACAAGCGGUGGAGCAUGUGGUUUAAUUCGACGCAACGCGAAGAACCUUACCAGGGAAUGACAUCGCCUGACGGCUUGUGAAAGCAAGCUUUCUCCUUCGGGAGACAGGUAGACAGGUGGUGCAUGGUUGUCGUCAGCUCGUGUCGUGAGAUGUUGGGUUAAGUCCCGCAACGAGCGCAACCCCUACGAAUAGUUGCCAGCACUUUAGGUGGGCACUCUAUUUGAACUGCCGUUGACAAAACGGAGGAAGGUGGGGAUGACGUCAAAUCAUCAUGCCCCUUAUGUCCUGGGCUACACACGUGCUACAAUGGUGCGUACAGAGGGCGGCGACACCGCGAGGUGAAGCGAAUCCCUAAAAGCGCAUCACAGUUCGGAUUGCAGGCUGCAACCCGCCUGCAUGAAGUCGGAAUCGCUAGUAAUCGCAGGUCAGCAUACUGCGGUGAAUACG
rnacentral:rRNA from 1 species